rnacentral:rRNA from 1 species
GUCGAGCGAGGUAGCAAUACCUAGCGGCGAACGGUCGCGUAACACGUAAGCAACCUGCCCCAAAGACCGGGACAACGUUCCGAAAGGAGCGCUAAUACCGGAUGUGCCCAUCCUGUGACAUCGCUAGAUGAGUAAAUCGAGCAAUCGGCUUUGGGAGGGGCUUGCGGCCUAUCAGCUAGAUGGUGGGGUAAUGGCCUACCAUGGCGACGACGGGUAGCUGGUCUGAGAGGAUGGUCAGCCGGAUUGGGACUGAGAUACGGCCCAGACUCCUACGGGGGGCAGCAAUUAGGAAUCCUGCGCAAUGGGCGAAAGCCUGACGCAGCGACGUCGCGUGGGGGAGGAAGGCUUUCGGGUUGUAAACCCCUUUUAUCGAGGAAGAAAAAAAUGACGGUACUCGAUGAAUAAGCCCCGGCUAACUCCGUGCCAGCAGCCGCGGUAAUACGGAGGGGGCGAGCGUUGUCCGAAGUUACUGGGCGUAAAGCGCGCGUAGGCGGGUUGGUAAGUCCGCUGUGAAAGCCCGGAGCUCAACUCCGGAGGGUCGGUGGAUACUGCCAGUCUUGAAGGUGCUAGGGGGAGAUGGAAUUACCGGUGUAGCGGUGAAAUGCGUAGAUAUCGGUAGGAACACCAGUGGCGAAGGCGGUCUCCUGGGGCAUUCUUGACGCUGAUGCGCGAAAGCUGGGGGAGCAAACGGGAUUAGAUACCCCGGUAGUCCCAGCCCUAAACGAUGAAUACUAGGUGUCGGGGGUAUCGACCCCUCCGGUGCCGCCGCUAACGCAGUAAGUAUUCCGCCUGGGG